CCGACCUUAGCUCAGCUGGCAGAGCGCGAGACUGUAAAGUCAGAUUAUGUAAUCAAAUAUCUUGAGGUCGCCUGUUCGAACCAGGCAGGUCGGA
rnacentral:tRNA from 1 species